rnacentral:rRNA from 1 species
GCUAGUUGUAUUAUUAGUUAAUGCAAGAUCGACUACGUCGACUAAAGUUCUAGGUAGAAUAAUGAUGAUGACAAUUUUUUACCUAUAUGUCUUGACCAAGUCUCGUGCCAGCAGUCGCGGUAAUACGUGGAAGACUAGUGUUAUUCAUCUUUAUUAGGUUUAAAGGGUACCUAGACGGUAUUUCUAGCCCAAAAUAGGGUACGGAUUUACUAGAGUUUUAUGUGAGGAGGGGAGUACUCAUGGAGUAGAGAUGAAAUUUUGUUAUACUAUGAGGUAACUGGUGGCGGCGAAAGCAACCUUCUAUGUAUAAACUGACGUUGAGGGACGAAGGCUUGGGUAGCAAAUAGGAUUAGAUACCCUAGUAGUCCAAGCAGACAAUUCUGAAUGCCAUAGAUUAGAUUAUUUUUGGUCUAUAAAUGAAAGUGUAAGCAUUCCACCUUAGGAGUAAUGUGGCAACACAGGAACUGAAAUCAUUAGACCGUUUCUGAAACCAGUAGUGAAGUAUGUUAUUUAAAUUGAUGGUCCACAAAAAACCUUACCACAACUUGAAUAUUUUUUAAUUAAUACAAGCGUUGCACGGCUGUCUUCAGUUAAUGUCGUGAGAUUUUGGUUAACUCCAUUAAUUAACGUAAACCCUUACUUUAUUUUUUUUUUA